rnacentral:lncRNA from 1 species
CCACUGUCUGGAGAGAAAGCCUGGGCCUGUAGCCCCAUUGGAGGCAACAGCAAAAUCAUCUAAAGACAUUGAAUCUCAGCUCCUGUUUCCUUUCCCAACUGCAAAUGCACUCUGGAGGGCUGGGCACAUCCAUGGUGGAUAACACAUUACAGCUGCACUCUGGAAUGAGCAGAGCCCUUCUUGGUGAUCCAGUGGACAGAGGAGUUAUCUUGACUGUCCAGCCAGCCUGGUGCUCUCUAAUACAAUGGCAAAGGUGCCAGGAUGCUGUGGAGGGAGCUGGAUGCUCUCACGGUCAUCUUGGACACCUGAGCUGUUGGAUGAGCUGA